UACGUAGGGGGCUAGCGUUGUCCGGAAUCAUUGGGCGUAAAGAGCGUGUAGGCGGCCCGGUAAGUCCGCUGUAAAAGUCAAAGGCUCAACCUUUGAAUGUCAGUGGAUACUGCCGGGCUAGAGUCCGGAAGAGGCGAGUGGAACUCCUGGUGUAGCGGUGGAAUGCGCAGAUAUCAGGAAGAACACCAACGGCGAAGGCAGCUCGCUGGGACGGUACUGACGCUGAAACGCGAAAGCGUGGGGAGCGAACAGG
rnacentral:rRNA from 1 species